AGGCAACGUUUAAGUCAUCUCUAUCUUCUUUGUUUUCUCAUCUCUUGAAUAUUAGAAUUUUAGAAUUAGAAUAGUUGUUGCAAACAUUCGAGGUUGUGAUGAUGAUUUUCUUCUUUGUUUCUUCGAGAAUGAGAAAAUUGAUAGUGUAAGAGAGCAAUCGGACCCGUAUCUUGGCGGGGCAACCCAGAUGGAAGGUUAUCCUGCAAUCGGUGCUUGCAGUCAUGUCGGUGAUUCCAAUCUCUCUUAUCGUAUUACAAAUCCGAGCUUCAAUGUUUAAAUUUCUUAGGGUCUAUUGAAAAUCACCUCUUUACCUCCACAAGAUAGAGACACGUAACAGUGCUUUAGGUUUAAUCCAUCUCUCGCCUUCUCUCACGUAUGGUUGUACGUACCUUUUAGAGACAGAAAGAGCAAACUCAAGUUGCACGGUAAGGUAAGUAUUCAUUUUCACUAUUAGCCUUUUGUUUCUUGGUUCAUUUUGUUGACCGUUUCUAUUCUUCCGAAAAUUUGUUUUGACAUUCAAAAAUCGACUUGACCAUGAAAUCGGUAGACAAUGAAGAAGAAACAGAGCAAGUAGUUUUAGAGCUCUUUAUGUGUGUGGUGGUGUUGUAUCAGAUUGUUGGACAGAUUGCAGGAGAAGCAACACAGUAAAUUGGAUAAUGAAGCUUAUUUGGAUGAGAAUCACAUGCUAUUUAAAAAUAUCCAGUUCCUUGUCGAAGUAUUGCACCCUCUACUCUAUUUUAUUUCGUAUGAAAUCUCUUCUAAUUGCUGAUUUCUACACUUCAGAAUCGCACACACGGGCACAUUGGAUGAUUCUUUUGACGAUCCUUCAUAAUGUGGCAUUUUUAUUCAAGUUAAAAGAAGAGGUAAAGAAGCUUCAAUCAAUCCAGCAAGCUAAAAGUGGAGUUGACAUAGUCUCUGAGAUAAGGGUGAAGACUCAUUAUGCUACACCAAUUGGUGCUGAUCAAAGAAUUGGCCAAUACUUAUCUAGCAUCUUUAAUUAUUUUUCAUUCUUGUUAAUGAUGAGGUUUAGUUUUGAGGUUUAUUGAAAAAUCAAGGUAAGGUCUACCUACAUUCUACCUUGAUGAGAUCCCACUUGUGGGAUCAAACUAGGUAUGUUGUUGUUAUCGUCGUCAAAUUAGUAAUGUUUUACUCCAUUUUUAAGAUUCUUAUAUUUGAAUUUGUGCAUAUGAUGUGUCUUUUACUGUAGUCUACAAAGCUGAUCGAAUUGCCACAUACUUUGUUAAGUGGUUGGGGAAGAGUACUCUUGGUUUGUCAUAUGAAUUGGCCCUCAGUGAGGCUUUGAUUGCACCUGCAAUGCCCAGCACUACGGCAAGAGCUAGUGGGGUAUUUUUGCCUAUUAUUAAGUCUCUCACUUUCAGCUGGAAGUAAGCGUGGUGAUCCCUCCUCCAGGAAGCUAGGAUCUUACUUGAUUCAAUCUCAAUUUCAGUUGUAUAAGCCAACUAAACCAGAGAGCACGUAGUGGAGGCCUAUCUUUCUAUCCCCCACAAAAGCUAAGGAAAACAUGUAGUGGAGGUCUAUGUUUCUAUCCCCCGCAAAAGAUAAAGGAAAACAUCUCUAACUUGUUAGCAUGGACGCCGAUGUACUUGAAAAGAGUUAAGUUUUAAGCUUCUAAUUAUCUCUACAUUUUUCUAAAUAUUUUAAUUACCUAAACUUGUUUUUUGUGAUUGUACUGCUGAAAAUAUAUUUAUAUGUAUAAUAGUAGAGUUAUUCAUUUAUUAAUCUCUCAAUAUACAUGCUCCAAUUUCUUGGAUAUGGAAAAAAAUGGCAUUACAAUGUACGAUUCUUUAGAAUAUGUAUUCACAAUAGUUCAAUCCUUUGAGCUGCAUGUUGAAUUUUUAGUCCACUGUCUUGGUGGAUCAAUAGCUAAUCCUUGGAAUUCAUCUGAUCCAUAAAUUUGAUUUGGGUAAUAAGAUUAGUAUCGUAGCUUGGUAAUCUUUAAUUUUGCAAGUAUAUAGACAAUGUUAACAUAAAAAUGGACCCAUUUGCAUAUGUUUUUAUCUGUGAGAUUUGAAUUGGUGGUAAGUGAGUGGAUAUCAAUAUUUUAAGAAAAAAUCAAAAAAUCACCCAAGAAUUAGAUCCAAAAUUGACAACACAUCUACCUCCAAUAGAAACGAAAAUCAGGGGGAAAAGGGGUGAGAAAAAUAAGAAAAUCAAAAUCUGCAAAAUCAAAACAAAAGAGUGAGAAGAUC